rnacentral:rRNA from 1 species
AGGAUAAACGCUGGCGGCGUGCCUAACACAUGCAAGUCGAACGCGCUUGCUAUCCGCGAGGAGGGUGAGCGAGUGGCGGACGGGUGAGGAACACGUGGGUGACCUACCUUUCAGUGAGGGAUACCGGCGAGAAAUUGCCGACAAGACCGCAUACGCUUCUCUUUUCAAGGGGAGAAGGAAAGCUUUUCGCAAGAGAGGCGCUGGGAGAUGGGCCUGCGGCCGAUUAGCUAGUUGGUGGGGUAAGAGCCUACCAAGGCGUCGAUCGGUAGCUGGUCUGAGAGGACGAUCAGCCACACUGGGAUUGAGAACGGCCCAGACUCCUACGGGGGGCAGCAGUGAGGAAUUUUCGGCAAUGGGGGAAACCCUGACCGAGCAACGCCGCGUGCAGGAAGACGGCCUUCGGGUUGUAAACUGCUUUUCUUUGGGACGAGCAAGGACGGUACCAGAGGAAUCAGCCCCGGCUCACUACGUGCCAGCAGCCGC